rnacentral:rRNA from 1 species
UACGUAGGGCGCAAGCGUUAUCCGGAAUUAUUGGGCGUAAAGAGCUCGUAGGCGGUUUGUCGCGUCUGCUGUGAAAGACCGGGGCUCAACUCCGGUUCUGCAGUGGGUACGGGCAGACUAGAGUGCAGUAGGGGAGACUGGAAUUCCUGGUGUAGCGGUGAAAUGCGCAGAUAUCAGGAGGAACACCGAUGGCGAAGGCAGGUCUCUGGGCUGUAACUGACGCUGAGGCGCGAAAGCCAGGGGAGCGAACGGG